UUCGUGUUCAUCAGAACGAAAAGAAUAGUGUGGGAAUAAUGAAGUAAAGAUGGAAACUUUGUGGGUACCGUGAUGGGAUUAUGAAGAAGAUGAAGAGGGCUGAGCUCUGCUUCUGUUCUAUCUGCAAGUAAUAUAUGAAGCUGAAUAUGUAUAUUGGUGUUGUGAAAUAUAGAACAAGUCUUGUACGAAAUUGAGUAUGAAGAUUGAACCUUGAUGAGGUGAAUGUUUUUUUACUGCUUAUGCUGCUCUUGUUUAGGCGCUUCUGUAAAGAAAAAGGGCGAAGUUUGUUUGCUUUUGUUUUUGUGGAAGGAAUGGAACAUAAUUACAGUUGUUUUUGGGAAGUAUAAUUGAGAUGAAAAUGAUGAGAUUCACCUGUACUGAAGUGUACGGGGUAGGGAUGGCAAUCGGGUACGACGGGUACGGAUAGUGACUAUCCAUACCCAUACCCACGAACUAAAUGGAUAGUGGUUGCUACCCACGAAACUAUCCAUGGAUAUCAA
rnacentral:lncRNA from 1 species